AUUGAACGCUGGCGGCAGGCCUAACACAUGCAAGUCGAGCGGAUGAAGGGAGCUUGCUCCUGGAUUCAGCGGCGGACGGGUGAGUAAUGCCUAGGAAUCUGCCUGGUAGUGGGGGAUAACGUCCGGAGACGGGCGCUAAUACCGCAUACGUCCUGAGGGAGAAAGGGGGGGAUCUUCGGACCUCACGCUAUCAGAUGAGCCUAUGUCGGAUUAGCUAGUUGGUGGGGUAAAGGCCUACCAAGGCGACGAUCCGUAACUGGUCUGAGAGGAUGAUCAGUCACACUGGAACUGAGACACGGUCCAGACUCCUACGGGAGGCAGCAGUGGGGAAUAUUGGACAAUGGGCGAAAGCCUGAUCCAGCCAUGCCGCGUGUGUGAAGAAGGUCUUCGGAUUGUAAAGCCCUUUAAGUUGGGAGGAAGGGCAGUAAGUUAAUACCUUGCUGUUUUGACGUUACCAACAGAAUAAGCACCGGCUAACUUCGUG
rnacentral:rRNA from 1 species